AACGAACGCUGGCGGCAGGCUUAACACAUGCAAGUCGAACGGGCCCUUCGGGGUCAGUGGCAGACGGGUGAGUAACGCGUGGGAACGUGCCCUUCAGUUCGGGAUAACCCAGGGAAACUUGGGCUAAUACCGGAUACGUGCGAGAGCAGAAAGAUUUAUCGCUGAAGGAUCGGCCCGCGUCUGAUUAGCUGGUUGGUGGGGUAAUGGCCCACCAAGGCGACGAUCAGUAGCUGGUCUGAGAGGAUGAUCAGCCACAUUGGGACUGAGACACGGCCCAGACUCCUACGGGAGGCAGCAGUGGGGAAUAUUGGACAAGGGGCGCAAGCCUGAUCCAGCCAUGCCGCGUGAGUGAUGACGGCCUUAGGGUUGUAAAGCUCUUUCGCACGCGACGAUAAUGACGGUAGCGUGAGAAGAAGCCCCGGCUAACUUCGUGCCAGCCGCCGCCGUAA
rnacentral:rRNA from 1 species